UCCUCCGGCCGGCCAGGGACAGUUGGGCUGCGUGGGUGCCCAGGCCUGCUGCCUUCACCUCACACCUGCUGGGCGGGUCUCCCAGGCCAGCCUCAGACUGUCCUGUGUUCCUCUGUCAGGGAAGGAGCAAGCAAAGGCUGGAACUUCUUCCACAGACUGGCUUUUCCAGAUCCUGCUGAGAUGAGACCUUAGGUCUGAGAAACUUGAGCAGCUUUUUCAGGGUCUCAGUACAGCAGAGCCACGGUUGGAACCUGAGUCUUCUGAACAGUCCCUGGCUCCUGCCACACCACGGUGUCAACACCUGAGCUCUGGGUGCAUGGCAGGCCUGCAGCAGGCCCUCUUGUCUACUCCUCACAGCACCUGUGAGAGAAGGACUAUAUUGGAAAGAUUGGAGCUCAGAGACCCAGCUCGGAAAACGGGCAGGAACCGAGGAAUGCUGGCCCCGCUCCUCUGCCAUCCACGGAUUCCACCACAGCUAGGCUCUUGGCCUCAGCCCACACUUCUGCCAGGAAGAAUUUCUCAACUGGCCUGAGCAUUUGGGCUACUGCCUUGAAGUAGAGUCCCAAGUGAGCAUUUCUGAGUAGCUGAAUCUAGGCUUACUUUAGUUUCCUAGCUGCUAAAACAAAUACCCCCAAACAGGAAUUUAUCGGCACAUGAUUUCGGAGGCUAGAAGGCUUGCUUCCUCCCAUGGCCAGUAUCUUCUGACUGAUGGGCAGACUGUGAGGUUCCUUGGCUUUUCUGUUAGGUGGUAAUGCACAUGGUGGCAUCUUCUUUCUCUUCAUAGUUCUGUUGGCUUCCAGUUUCUGGCUGCAACCCGUGGCUUCUCCUCUCUGUCCAGUUUCCUUUCUGUAUAAGGACUUCAGCCAUAUUGGAUUAAGGCCCACUCUUAUUCGGUUUGGGCACAUUUUAAUAACGUUUUCAAACAUCCUAUUUACCAAUGGAUUUACAGCCACUGGACCAGGGGUUGGGACCUCAACAUACCUUUCUGGGGGGACGUGAUUCAAUCACCAACAAGGCCAUAUGUUCACUGUUUGGCUGCCAGCAAGCAGGGAGAGACAACAUUCUGAGGUUUGAUUUCUAUAGUGAAAUGCAGGGUCUUCUCCCACAAAAGCGCCUCAAGAAGGGACCCUCCAUAAACUGGAAAAAAAGCAUUCUGUAUCAUCUUCUAACUUUGCCCUACAGAUCUCCAUCCUUCUCUCCUCCCCCACUCUGAACCCCUGGAGGUUGGCCUGCAUGGGCCACACAGGCAGAAAUCCUGUGCUCUUGGGCUCCCAGUUGUGUUUGUCCAAGGGGAGGCACCAUUGGAGGAGAGAGAUUGAGGCUUUCCUCCUCCUGAUUGCUUUCCUUUGCAGCUAUGGCUCUCUCCAGCUUCCAGUAACCUCAGCUCCCUGCCCCACCAGUUUCUUCACCAUUCCUUAUUGAUUUCCCCAAAUCCUACCCAUCCUUCAUAAAUAGUCCUUUCUUGAAAGGCUCCUCAAUUGCUCUGUUUGAGCAUGACACCUGUUCCUGCUGGGCUCUCCCCUCCAACUGAUAAAUGGUGUUCAAAGAUGGGAAGGCAACAGAGGACCAACGAAUGCCCGUGAUGCAGUGGAAGCAAGCAGCAUUGUAAAACAGCAAGAGCAAGGACAUUGGAGCCAGACCUAUGAGGAUUUGUAUUCCCAGCUCCACGAUGACCGCUUGCAUGAAUGUGGUCAAGUUACUUAACCAUGCUGAGCUUUCAUUCCUCAUCUGAGACAUAAAAAUAAGUUCUUAAUUCAUGGAUUUGUUUCAAGGACUGAAUGAGAUAGAUUUAUUAAGCAUUUGGCACUUAGGAGACCAGUAAUGGCAAAAAGGAUUCACCUUAUAUGCCAGCUCAAUUUACCGGUAGUGGGUUGGGGUUGAGAAUUCUGACUCAUCUUCCUAGCCUGGCGGUGAUAGGUGUGCUCAUGAGUGAUUAGUGAUGCCUGUCAUGCUGUGGCCUGGGACCUGGCAGCAGGCCGUGCUUGCCUUCUCUGGAGUGGACACUCAACUAAGUGACAGCUACCGGUUUUCAUAUUCCUGGGUGCUUGCAUAGGAUUCUGUUGGGGUCAGAAUGGUCAGGAUCCCGUUCAACCCAUGCGCAUUCUCAGGGGUGCUGCCCAGGUCCGGGAUUACUGAGCCCCUCUUCCGGCACAGCGCAGACUUCUCAGCAAUGCUGCUGCCCCACUGGCCCGUUCCUUAAUCAGCAAAAUGCUUCAGCCCUGUCUAGGUUGUUUCAGGUCUUCUUUCCCUUGGGACCCUCUCUUGCCCUUUUCAGUCCCUGAAUAUCCAGCUUGAUCCUUCCUGUCAGCACAGACACACACACUCACACACACACCCAGACACAUACACACACCCAUGCACACACACAUGCAAACAC